rnacentral:rRNA from 1 species
UCAGUGUGUGUGUUAGUGGAAGCGUCUGGAAAGGCGUGCGAUACAGGGUGACAGCCCCGUACACAAAAAUGCACAUAUUGUGAGCUCGAUGAGUAGGGCGGGACACGUGGUAUCCUGUCUGAAUAUGGGGGGACCAUCCUCCAAGGCUAAAUACUCCUGACUGACCGAUAGUGAACCAGUACCGUGAGGGAAAGGCGAAAAGAACCCCGGCGAGGGGAGUGAAAAAGAACCUGAAACCGUGUACGUACAAGCAGUGGGAGCACAGAGCAAUCUGUGUGACUGCGUACCUUUUGUAUAAUGGGUCAGCGACUUAUAUUCUGUAGCAAGGUUAACCGAAUAGGGGAGCCGAAGGGAAACCGAGUCUUAACUGGGCGUUAAGUUGCAGGGUAUAGACCCGAAACCCGGUGAUCUAGCCAUGGGCAGGUUGAAGGUUGGGUAACACUAACUGGAGGACCGAACCGACUAAUGUUGAAAAAUUAGCGGAUGACUUGUGGCUGGGGGUGAAAGGCCAAUCAAACCGGGAGAUAGCUGGUUCUCCCCGAAAGCUAUUUAGGUAGCGCCUCGUGAAUUCAUCUCCGGGGGUAGAGCACUGUUUCGGCAAGGGGGUCAUCCCGACUUACCAACCCGAUGCAAACUGCGAAUACCGGAGAAUGUUAUCACGGGAGACACACGGCGGGUGCUAACGUCCGUCGUGAAGAGGGAAACAACCCAGACCGCCAGCUAAGGUCCCAAAGUCAUGGUUAAGUGGGAAACGAUGUGGGAAGGCCCAGACAGCCAGGAUGUUGGCUUAGAAGCAGCCAUCAUUUAAAGAAAGCGUAAUAGCUCACUGGUCGAGUCGGCCUGCGCGGAAGAUGUAACGGGGCUAAACCAUG